rnacentral:rRNA from 1 species
UGGGGAAUAUUGGACAAUGGGCGCAAGCCUGAUCCAGCCAUGCCGCGUGAGUGAUGAAGGCCCUAGGGUUGUAAAGCUCUCUCACCGGUGAAGAUAAUGACGGUAACCGGAGAAGAAGCCCCGGCUAACUUCGUGCCAGCAGCCGCGGUAAUACGAAGGGGGCUAGCGUUGUUCGGAUUUACUGGGCGUAAAGCGCACGUAGGCGGACUUUUAAGUCAGGGGUGAAAUCCCGGGGCUCAACCCCGGAACUGCCUUUGAUACUGUAAGUCUUGAGUAUGGUAGAGGUGAGUGGAAUUCCGAGUGUAGAGGUGAAAUUCGUAGAUAUUCGGAGGAACACCAGUGGCGAAGGCGGCUCACUGGACCAUUACUGACGCUGAGGUGCGAAAGCGUGGGGAGCAAACAGG